AGGACGGACGCCGGUGACAAACCGGAGGAAGGUGGGGACGACGUCAAGUCAUCAUGGCCCUUAUGUCCUGGGCUACACACGUGCUACAAUGGCCGGUACAGAGCGCAGCGAAGCCGCGAGGCAAAGCGAAUCGCAAAAAGCCGGUCUCAGUACGGAUUGGAGUCUGAAACUCGACUCCAUGAAGUUGGAAUCGCUAGUAAUCGCGCAUCAGCAUGGCGCGGUGAAUACGUUCCCGGGCCUU
rnacentral:rRNA from 1 species